UAAGGAGGGUGCGAGCGUUGUCCGGAAUCACUGGGCGUAAAGGGCGCGUAGGCGGUCUGCUAAGCGUGCGGUGAAAGCCUGGGGCUCAACCCCAGGUCUGCCGUGCGAACUGGUGGACUAGAGCACUGUAGAGGCAGGUGGAAUUCCGGGUGUAGCGGUGGAAUGCGUAGAGAUCCGGAAGAACACCGGUGGCGAAGGCGGCCUGCUGGGCAGUUGCUGACGCUGAGGCGCGACAGCGUGGGGAGCAAACAGG
rnacentral:rRNA from 1 species